GAAAUAUUAAAAGGAUCACAAAUAUCAUUCAAAUAUAUCUCUAUUCAAUCUUAAUUUAAUUCUAGUUAAAAUCCUAUUGAAUUUCAUUCAAACUGUAGGCCAAAACUAAUUGAAUCUUAAAUCCUAAUAAAAUCCUAAAUCCUAAAUCAAACCCUAAACAAACCUUAAACCAAAUCCCAAUCAAAUCUUAAACCAAAUCCUAACCAAAUCCUAAUCCAAAUCUUAAAUCCUAAAUCAAAUCUUAAUUCAAAUCCUAAAUCCUAAACCAAACCCUAAUUAAAUCUUAAAUCCUAAAUCAAAUCCUAACCAAAUCCUAAACCAAACCUUAACCAAAUCCUAAUUCAAACCUUAAAUCCUAAAUCAAAUCCUAAUU
rnacentral:lncRNA from 1 species